UACAGAGGUCUCAAGCGUUGUUCGGAUUCAUUGGGCGUAAAGGGUGUGCAGGUGGCGCCGUAAGUCGGGUGUGAAAUCUCGGGGCUUAACUCCGAAACUGCAUUCGAUACUGCGGUGCUUGAGGACUGGAGAGGAGACUGGAAUUCAUGGUGUAGCAGUGAAAUGCGUAGAGAUCAUGAGGAAGACCAGUGGCGAAGGCGGGUCUCUGGACAGUUCCUGACACUGAGACACGAAGGCCAGGGGAGCAAACGGG
rnacentral:rRNA from 1 species